rnacentral:misc_RNA from 1 species
UUUGAUUUAAGGGAUGACUAUUAUACUCGUUCUUGUAUAAAGUUAAACUUACAAUAGCCACACUUUAAAUUUUAUUAGUACAAUUUAAUUUUAAUUAGAUCAAAUCAACAUUUUAAGUGACUGCAAAAAGGCUAAACGAAUUUAAGAAACUUUAGCUACGGACAUCCCUGGACAUCAAACAAGACUUAUUUUAACUGAAGUCCACCAAAUGGAAAGAAAGGACUCUAAACUCUCUUAAGAUGCAAGCCUUUCAUACAGACUAGUGCUUGUCCUCCUUGGGGGUAUCUUUUUUCUGAACCUUUGAUUCCAGUUCCUUGGGUGUUGCAUUCUCUGACGCCUUGGAGGCAGCGGCGGAUUCUUCUUCGAGCCAUUGACGGAUGUGCUUGACGUUGCGCCUAAAAAUGGUAGCCGAUUGCUUCACAUCGCUCCUUAAUAGAAGAAUGACGGCGCUGACACCGGCCACCGUGAUGAUGAAAUUGGUCAAACCCAUCUCAGUUUUCAAAACCCUAAGUUCUUUGUAAACAUUGAAUAGAAGAGAUAGAGAUUAGGAAGACUGCUACGUGCAAAUUGCAAAAAUAUGAU